rnacentral:lncRNA from 1 species
GGACCAAGAGGGUGGCGUUGUGGGGCUUCAUCACCAUGUCGCACAACUUGAGGAAGGGUACCACGUUGAAUGCGUUCAUGAUCCAUCCAGAGUUCUCUGCAUGAGGCCUGAAGGCAAUGAACUAAGGCCAAGCAAAUUACACUGAACAGAACAAGGGCAAGAUAUGAACAGACGUUUGAUGGGGAUAUUUUGUUUCCAAAUAUUCCUCGUUUUAUGUUAUAGAUCCCCACAAAAUGGUUGCAUUCUCUCAACUCAGCCUUGUAUUUGAUCACUCACUGGAACGAAUCCGUUAUUACAGCUUCGUGCAUCUCUCUUCCCUGUGUGCCUCCUGCUAGGUUUACCUUCUUGUCUUUGCUCAGACAAGUCCAGACACCGAGCUUCACGCCACAGAAUGACCGCAGUCAGCACCUCACAGAACAGAGAAAUUGGCAAGCUAAGCUCUCAAGGCUUCCCACAAAUCCGAUGAUAUAAUAAAAUGUUUGUUUU